CCGCCCCUUUCUUUAUUUUUCCCUCUUCUCUUUUCCUAUCCGUGUCCUCCGACCUCCCUCUCUCUCUCUGACCAGCCGUCUCUCCUCUCCUCUCUCUGCGACUCACUCUCUCUCCUCUCUCCCCUCUCCCCUCUCACCGAUCUGCAACGUUCGCCUCCUCUCAGUCUCAGUUCUCAUCCCUCUCAAACCGAAUUUGACUAUACCGGCUCGACAUGGACUUGGUGCAGUGAAUCUAGUAGUGGCAGCUUGGUGAAGCCAUUCUCUAAGUGGAUAAGGGGUUUAUGUUCUUGCACAAACUGAAUCUCUGAAACUUCACCCCAAGAGUACUUUACUGGAAUACCGGGUUCAAAUGCUGCAAAAUUUACUUCCGAUUCCAAUGGCGCAAAGGAAUGGUUGAAACUCAUUUGUGAACUCUUAUUCUUCUGAGAAUCAGGAAGGUUGACUGCAGGUGCCUUAGCUUCUACCACUGGCUCUGAAACUAUGCUCCUGAGAUCGUCUUCAUGGCUGCUGGAAUCCACAUUCUGGAGAAGUAAGUUACUGCCGCAAAUUCUGUAGCUUCCAUUCCGAACAUUAUUUUUAUGAACACUGGUCGAGCUCUGAAGGCCAAAACUUACUGGAGGAUCUUUUAGAGACAGUACCAUUGAACUUUGCUAAGGAACACCUUAAGAAUGAGGGUUCUGUCAUUCUUAUGAUUCCAGAUAGAGGAUUUUGGUCUAUUAAAUUUGAAAUAAAGCACAAAAACUAUAGCAAAAGGAGAGCUGAAUUUAGUUGUGGUUGGAAAGUCUUUGCCAAGGACAAUUAUUUGAAAGUUGGCGAUGUCUGCAUUUUCGAGCUUCUUAAGAGAGAUGAAAAUGUAUUCAAGGUUUCCAUUGAUUGUGCUGUUGAUUAUGCAUUCAACUAAAAUCUCAAGCUGGUGGAAUCAAAGCAAAGCCAAAAGGAGAAGUGAGAGAAGUUACUGAGUUGUUUUUUGAAAUAUGUUUGCAUAAUGGAGAACUUGCUAUGCUUUAAAACUCAAAACUAAAUAUGGUGAAUGAAUCUAUGAGUAAAGGAUCAGAUACCUCAUAAGAUUAAUUAUAUAUAUAUAUAUGUAUAUAUAUAUAUCAUAUUUUAAGUACAGUUGUCUUACGUUGUUAAUAUGAACCAUUUCUAUAAAACUAAGUAGAUGUCUAUAUAUCUCCCUUUUAUUAGAUACAAAUAUUCAAAAUAGGUAAGCUUGAUUACCAACCAAUCAUGUUUUUUCUAGUGGAGCUUCUGAUCCUAUUUGCAAUGAAAUUUCCAGCUUUUGUUCUGUUUUGGUUUCUACAAUAAUAGGCUUUUUUUCUUUCUUCUCUACAAAUAAUAUAUGUAUAUAUAUUGUUUUCUUCUCUUUAUGUUAUAAAUUAUUCUCUAUUCCUCUUCUCUUCAGAAUAUGUGAGUACUAAGGCCAAUUGUUAUAUAUAAGACAAAUAUGAGAAUGAGUUGCCAGAAGUAUACUAUAUAUAUAUAUCAGACAGAAAACUGGAGGCGGUGGAUACACAAAAGAAAACGUUGCUCGAUGUUGGACUGUUGAAACUGGAGUUCUUCUAGACACAACUUCCAAAUGAGAUCCCAGCUAAGGAUUACAUUCUAUAUUUCGGCCCAGAAUAUUCAUUGAAGAUUCCACAUGGGCACAUAAUAAGUCAUUUUAAAACUUCUUUGUUAUUGAGAUUAUAUAUUUCUUGUACACAUAGAUACUGUCCCUUGCUAUACUGCAAACAAGCUAGCUUUUGUUUUGUCAAAUAAUGCAAUGUUAUAUUUUCCAUUAAAUAUAUUUGUUUCCUUGCUUUCUCUUAAUUUUCUUGUGUGGAUUGUCAAUUAUGCAGGAUAAUGCGAACACUAAAUCAUAUCUUAGUACGAUCAAAGUGCAGGUCUUGGAGAAUCUUCGUCACAUUCAACAUGCUCCUAGUGUUCAAAUGCAGGAGGUUCCUUCAGACUUCUAUAUCCCUGAUUUUGAUGAAGAUGAGCAGAACCCAGACGAACGAGUAGAUCGUAAGUGAAAAUUCAAAAAAUUUAAAAACACACCAACACACCUUUUGUUUUCCAUGGCCACUACUUCAAGCCUUUUCACUUCCACUGCUUUCUUAUUGUUUAAUUAUUUAAUUCAGAUUUGACUCACUUUCAUUAUAUAUUAUAACAUUGUAAAUGUGUGUAUGUGCUGAGACAAACUUCAAAUAAUUUUUUUUUGCAACAGUUUGCAAGAGGUAUGCUUCUAACUUUUAUUUUAAUACUAUGCAAAUGUUAGAGGAGUUUGAAUAUCUUAAAUAUUCAUCCAUAGUGAAGUAGGUUCUGGGAUUGUUACUGUGUGCUGCGGUGAUAACGGAAGGUUGAGAACUUAUGUGUUUUAGUGAAGUAGGAUCUGAGAAAUUUGUGUGUUGCGGAGAUAAGGAAGAAAACUUGUGUGUUGUUUGAAUUGAUAUUGGCAGAUGGUUGGUUGCUAGUAUGGGGAAAAUGUUGUUCGAUUUUAUGUAGACUUGUCUAUGAUUAUCCUAUAAUUGAAUUAUGUUUGUUUGAUUGACUUGAUUAUAACAUAUACUUGUAUGAAUGUACUUGUUGCGUGUUGACAUACACAUAUAGCAUAACCUUUUGUACUUCUUGUUUUACAUAUGUUAGUUUUCUUCUUGUCCCUUGUCUAAUGUCUUUGGUGAGGUGAUUUACAACAUUGAACAUCACUUUUGGUUUUUGUGAUCACGUUUAGGUUCAAUAGUAUAAAGUGUUAUACAAAAGUUUGACAUUAUUAGUAUAUUGGUUGAUAAUUUAUAGUUAUAUUGGAUUCUAAGUUUCAUUCUUUUGGACUAGCAUGUAUUGAUUUUAUCAGCUUCAGGGUAUAUUUUUGUUUUAGUGCCAGUGCUUAAUUUUUUUAGAUUUAUUGAUUUUAGUGUAUAUUAUGUAUUUAUAUUUUUUGUUGGAUACUUUGCUUCUGAUUUUGCUAUGUUUAUUCAAAUUCAGGGUAUAUAUAUAUAAACUUUUCUGUUGGUGGCUUUUGGUACAAGUUAUGCUAAUAAUAAUUAAUUAUGUGAGUAAUUUUUUAUUUAAAUUUAUAUCAAACUUUAAUUGUUUAAAAUAUAAUUAAAAGUUUUAAAAAACAUAUAUUGAAAAAUUAUUAUUUAUAUAUAUAAAUUUAAUUUUACGGCGACAUCUAAUAACUAUCAGCGUUUCUAUUAACAGUGACACCUAAUAACUGUUGGCGUUGCUAGCAACGGCGACACCUAUUAACUGUCGGUGUUGCCAGUAAUGGUGACAACUAUUAACUGUCAGUGUUGCUAGCAACGGCGACACUUAUUAACUGUCGACGCUGCCAGCAACGGCGACACCUAUUAACUGUCGGCAUAGCCAGCAACAAUGACACUUAUUAAUUGUUGUCGUAGCUACCCCUACGCCGGCAUAGGCAAAAAUGAAAGUUAGUCGACUGUCGUCAUUGCUCAAUAGCGACAGAUAAAAACUGUCGGGAAAACCUGUUUUUGUAGUAAUGUCACUAAUGUAAUUUUAGUCAAAAUUUAUUAUAUUUAGUGAUAAAAAUUGUUUUGACCAAAAAUAUGUUUAGUCACAACAAAUUGUAAUGUUUGUGACUAAAAUAGUAACGUAAUUUGACAAUUGGAUACAAUAUGGUUGUAACACCAUUAUUUUCUCAUAAAAUAAAUACACAAUCCAGUGUUGAAACAUAAAAACAUAAAUGUUGCCCUUUAUUGAAAAAUAUACGACUUCAAACAGGAUCCCAGUUUUACAACAUAAAAGAUGUCUUAAAAAUAGAAAUACAACAACAUUUAUUUUUAGAGUAAUAAAUUACAAAUUAAGAAACAAAAAUAUAAGCUUUAGAUCUUCUAGCAGCUAUAUGGCCUUCACGAAUACACAUGCAACUAUCUAGGUCCAACUCGCCACUGGUCAUCUAUCUCUUUACUUAUUUUGAUAUGCACAGAUAUACUAUAAGGAGUGAGCUUCUAAACCCAAUAAGGAAAAUACAACCAUAACAAACAUACAAACAAUAUUUAUACAUAUCACAGAUAUUUCAUUAUUCAACAAUACCAUAUAAGCUUCAUAUUACUAUAAUAACACUAUCAUACAAGAGAAUCACAAUCACACAUAACCAUACAAUUCUAAAGUCAUAUUCAUAAACUUAAUAUUCUCAUAAUCAUAUUAGAUAUAAACGAAUCAGUCAAGUAUAGAUAAUGUGCUUAUAAAGUUUGGACAUCUGAGCCCUAUUGACAUCACUUAGAUCCAUUAUACAACUUUUGGACAUCACAUAGGUCCAUAUAUGAGCUUCACUUAGGUCCAGCCACACUUAUAUUCUUGUACUUGAAAUGUUAGUGUCAUAACAUUUACUUAAGGUCAUAAUCUAAAUCCAUUUGAUUUUCCUUACUUUGAAUGUGGCGAAAAAGAAUAGAGAGAUUGCUCUUAAAUACUAGUGGAUCACGCCCAACACCUUACACAUAAAAAUAAAGACUAAAAUUAGGACCUAAAAUAUAAAUUAAUUUCACAAUCUAAAACCUUUUUAGAAACCAAACCUUAACCCUUGAAACAAGAUAACACAAUCCUAAUAUCCCGAGCCUUUGAGAGAACAACAAAUUUCUUUGAAAUAAAUAGGGUUUGAACUUUAUGAUGCUUUAUAAAUAGUAUAAUGUUUUGGCUAGAAAUGAUGACUUGGGCUAAGGUAUAUUUCGGCCAAGUGAGGGAAUAAUGAUGGUAAUAGUGACAAAGCUAGGUUUGGAACACAAGAGAAAGAUAGAAGAAGAAUUCGAACACCACUAGGGUUCUUGGUGGUUUCGGCUAUGUGGAGUGUUUGUGAGCAAAAAUAGAAGAACUUGAGAGAAGAUAAUAUUGCUUAACAAUUUUUGAAAAAUAGAGAAGCUAUGACUUUGAUUUUGUGAAAAUGAAGAGCACCAAUGCUUUAUUUAUAGGCUCUAAACUCCAACUCUUUUCCUUAAUCUUCUCCACUAUCAUCAAACAAGUUUUUAAAAAUUGAAUUUCCCUCCUCUAAGUAGUUUUGGCCAAGCCUGUUCAACACCCUAGUCUUUUGCUAAAGUUCCUUUCUUAACGCCACAUACUCCCUGUUAAUGUCUGUUUAGACUUUGUCUUGUUUUGAAAAAAUUAUGUCUAUUGUUUUGUUUGAGCUGGUUUCUGUUUUAUCAAUUUGUUAUAUGUGCUAUCCGCAAAUUUGAUUGGUUAGUUUGUUGUAAGCUCACGUGGCCGUGUGAUGGUUGCUUACUAUAAAUAGACUAAUGGGUUGAUUAGAACAAACUAACUCUGAAAAGACAAACCCUAGAAUUUUGUGUUCUUGGUUCAAUCAUUUUUGUUUCAGGUAGAGGAACUCAAGGUUGAAGAAGAAGCUGAAGAAAUAUGGUUGGGUGUUGUAGAUCGAAGAGGAAGAAAAAGCUUGGUUCAGAUAGAAACUGGAGGGAUUUCAGUCAGGUCUUUGAAGGGAGUUCAAAGAGUGUGAUCUAUUGAAGCUUGCAAGUUUAUAGUUUUUUUUUCAUUAUUUACUUGUUUCAUUAAACAAAUUGUAUAAUGAAACUUUGAAAGACUGUAUGUAUGUAUUUCUCAUUUUCUUGAAGUAUUUAAGAUUUGUAAUAUCUUUCUUAGAUAAAGAAAUUGAUGUCUC